CGGACGGGUGAGUAACGCGUGGGUAACCUGCCUUAUACAGGGGGAUAACAGUCAGAAAUGGCUGCUAAUACCGCAUAAGCGCACAGAGCUGCAUGGCUCGGUGUGAAAAACUCCGGUGGUAUAAGAUGGACCCGCGUUGGAUUAGCUGGUUGGUGGGGUAACGGCCCACCAAGGCGACGAUCCAUAGCCGGCCUGAGAGGGUGAACGGCCACAUUGGGACUGAGACACGGCCCAA
rnacentral:rRNA from 1 species